AGCGAACGCUGGCGGCAGGCCUAACACAUGCAAGUCGAACGAACUCUUCGGAGUUAGUGGCGGACGGGUGAGUAACACGUGGGAACGUGCCUUUUGGUUCGGAAUAACUCAGGGAAACUUGUGCUAAUACCGAAUGUGCCCUUCGGGGGAAAGAUUUAUCGCCAUUAGAGCGGCCCGCGUCUGAUUAGCUAGUUGGUGAGGUAACGGCUCACCAAGGCGACGAUCAGUAGCUGGUCUGAGAGGAUGACCAGCCACACUGGGACUGAGACACGGCCCAGACUCAGGGGGGGGGGAGGGGGGGGGAUCGUGGGGAGAGUGGCGAAAGCGUGAAGGGGCGAGGGAGGAUGAAGGGUGAAGGUCUUAGUGGUGUAACAUUGUUUCGCCGGGUACGAUAAUGGCGGUACAGGGUGAAAAAGCCCCGGCUAACUGGCGGCAAGCAGCGGCGGAAAGAGCGAAGAGCACACGUCGGACC
rnacentral:rRNA from 1 species